AGCGGAUGACUUGUGGCUGGGGGUGAAAGGCCAAUCAAACCGGGAGAUAGCUGGUUCUCCCCGAAAUCUAUUUAGGUAGAGCCUUGAGGUGACACCUUUGGGGGUAGAGCACUGUUUCGGCUAGGGGUCCAUCCCGGAUUACCAACCCGAUGCAAACUACGAAUACCAAAGAGUGAUACUCAGGAGACACACGGCGGGUGCUAACGUCCGUCGUGGAGAGGGAAACAACCCAGACCGCCAGCUAAGGUCCCCAAGUCUAUAUUAA
rnacentral:rRNA from 1 species